rnacentral:lncRNA from 1 species
UUGACUUGUAAUCUUCAUUUCUUUUCUGUUUGGCAAAAAUACCAAAAAAGAAUAAGUUUUGGAAAGGAAGUCCUUUGAAGUAAAUUUUGAAAUUUAGCCUUCUAAAGGCAUGAAUCCUAGUUCCUCUUCAACAAAUUUAGCAUUCUAAAGGCAUGAGGCCUAGUUGCUCUUGAACUCCUUUAAGCAUAGGUAAGUCCUAAUUCUAAGUCCUUUCUCCUUUUUGCAUUAGGUCCACACAAGACAAAAGCAAAACCAACACAAGACAACAAUAUAUUUAUAUACAAUAAUGAGCUCAAAUGAGCAACAGAAAAAUGACAUAAACAUAAAAUAUGUGCUCAAGUGAGCAAAAUGAAAAGCAAUAUGAAUAAAUGAGCAAGAAAUAAAUGACAUUAAAGUAAAGGGAAAGAAAUUAUAUGCUCAAAUUAAAGUUAGUAAUUAGUGAACUUAUGUUAGUUUGUCCUAAGACAAUGUAGUGCUAUGUUAAGCAAUCGUAAGUGGACUAAUGUAGUAGUCACACCUAUCUGAGACCGGUCAAUAAAACUAUAGGCAAAUAAACACAAGUUAGAGAUCAUGACUAAUAAGCCAAGCUCCACAAACUUGACAUGCCAAAACAAAAGGGGAAGGACCUUGUAUGGACUCUAGGUUUUUUGCUUGACUAAGAAGCAACCUAUCUUGGACACAAAACAACUCACUUGAUCUUGGAUCAAGUUGAGUUUGGUUUGGAUCAAAGA